rnacentral:lncRNA from 1 species
CUAUAUAGGUUACUAUUUUUUGCAUAGGGUGCCAUUUGGGACGUACACUGACUCAUACACAAUGUAUGGCUGUAUGUGACAGAAGAUGCAUUAGUCACAUAGAAGGAUAUGGUGGAUCAUCUCAUGCUAAAGGCAAUCCGACUCCGAGGAUGUUUCCCAAAUGGCACUCUGCACACUACAUAGUGCUCUAUUUUAACCCCAUAGGGCUCCGGUAAAAAAAGCAGUGCACUACAUAGAGGGAAUAGGGUGCCAUUUUGGGAUAGAUGUCUGAUUUUAAAUUCAAGACCCGUCGUCAGACAGAUUGCACAUAAUUGACGUUAACUUUCUCUAUUGCAGAUCUCAGGACAAAAUAAUUCAAGCUGUAUUUGACUGAUGUUAUUAUGUUCAUUUCCACCAUGUAAAUGCGUACAUUUUAGACAUUAUGUUUUAAUCUUUAGACCAAUGUAAUAUACAUAUAAUUGUCAUGAGUUUAAAAGAGGCAAAUUAAAACAUAUUCUACCUUUAAGCUGACUGACGUUUACUUUCAAUUCUUCAAAUGAUGCCUUUUAAAAAUAGCAAACAUUUAGCAGAUAGUUCUACACAUCGUAUUUGAUAUAAUUGGGUCUGUCAACAAACUGAAAGAGAUUAUGGCUCUAAGAUUGUGACAGGUGACAGAGAGAAAUGAAUGAAACAUCACUUUGUUGUGAUUGGUGUGCUUAGAGCUGUGUUUUAGGGGGUUGUGUCCCAAAUGGAACCCCGUUCUCUAUAUAGGGAGUCAUUUGAGACUCAGACAUUAGUGUCACCUCAGAGAUGAAAUUGUUCAUAAUUUUAUCCUAUGAAGUUUCUCUUUCUGUCAGUUCAUUAAAAAUAUAAACCUGAGUGAAACUCUUAAUUGCAGAGUUACCCGAAUAAUUGGUUCCUCUGCUGUAGCGGUUUAUUUGUGAGACGCCAGGGCACUCUCACAAUGUCUGUGUGUGUGUGUGUGUGUGUGUGUGUGUGUGUGUGUGUGUGUGUGUGUGUUUGAUCCCAGUGGUACAGUGCUUGGCAGUGUGUUGUUGAACUGCUCUUCAGCGUCUGCCUUCCUGGUCAAAAAUGUAUCAUUAGAACAGAUGCUAUUAAAGGGCUAAGAGUUUGGAGCUAAGGGUUAGAGCUAGUGGUUAGAGCUAGUGGUUAGAGCUAGGGGUUAGAGCUAAGGCUUGGAGCUAAGGGUUGGAGCUAAGGGUUGGAGCUAAGGGUUGGAGCUAAGGGUUGGAGCUAAGGGUUGGAGCUAAGGGUUGGAGCAAAUGGUUGGAGCUAAGAGUUAGAGCUAAGGCUUGGAGCUAAGGGUUGGAGCUAAGGGUUGGAGCUAAGGGUUGGAGCUAAGGGUUGGAGCUAAGAGUUGGAGCUAGGGGUUAGAGCUAAGCCUUAGAGCUAAGCCUUAGAGCUAAGGGUUGGAGCUAAGGGUUAGAGCUAGGGGUUAGAGCUAGGGGUUAGAGCUAGGGGUUGGAGCUAGGGGUUGGAGCUAAGGGUUGGAGCUAAGGGUUGGAGCUAAGGGUUGGAGCUAAGGGUUGGAGCUAAGGGUUGGAGCUUGGAGCUAAGGGUUGGAGCUAAGGGUUGGAGCUAAGGGUUGGAGCUAAGGGUUGGAGCUACUGACUGGAGCUGAGGGUUGGAGCUAAUGGUUAGAGCUGGGGGUUAGAGAUACUGACUGGAGCUGAGGGUUGGAGCUGAGGGUUGGAGCUGAGGGUUGGAGCUAAGGGUUGGAGCUAAGGGUUGGAGCUAAGGGUUGGAGCUAAGGGUUAGAGAUAAGGGUUGGAGCUAGGGGUUGGAGAACGGCUCAAAGUAAUGUACCCACUCUUCAAAGACAAUAGACUAAAUCGGAGACGUGUAUCUCUCGUAGUCGACCAGCUGUACAGCCAUCUGUUCCGAGACACGAAGACUACUCCAUGGCUAUUCUAAAUCAAAUGGAACCUCCAACACUAUCAAUGGUAGGGAUUGUAAUUAAAACACAAAACAAGAAAAUAAUAUAAUACAACAAUUAAUCUAAGACAAAGGGGGGGGG